GUGCCAGCCGCCGCGGUAAUACGUAGGGGGCGAGCGUUGUCCGGAAUCAUUGGGCGUAAAGAGCUCGUAGGCGGUUCAGCAAGUCGUUUGUGAAAGUCCGAGGCUCAACCUCGGAACUGCAGUCGAAACUGCUGUGACUCGAGUCCGGUAGAGGAGAAUGGAAUUCCCGGUGUAGCGGUGAAAUGCGCAGAUAUCGGGAGGAACACCAGUAGCGAAGGCGGUUCUCUGGGCCGGUACUGACGCUGAGGAGCGAAAGCGUGGGGAGCAAACAGGAUUAGAUACCCCUGUAGUCC
rnacentral:rRNA from 1 species